rnacentral:rRNA from 1 species
AGGACGAACGCUGGCGGCGUGCUUAACACAUGCAAGUCGAGCGGUAAGGCCUUUCGGGGUACACGAGCGGCGAACGGGUGAGUAACACGUGGGUGAUCUGCCCUGCACUUCGGGAUAAGCCUGGGAAACUGGGUCUAAUACCGGAUAUGACCUCCUAUCGCAUGGUGGGUGGUGGAAAGAUUUAUCGGUGCAGGAUGGGCCCGCGGCCUAUCAGCUUGUUGGUGGGUAAUGGCCUACCAAGGCGACGACGGGUAGCCGACCUGAGAGGGUGACCGGCCACACUGGGACUGAGACACGGCCCAGACUCCUACGGGAGGCAGCAGUGGGAAUAUUGCACAAUGGGCGAAAGCCUGAUGCAGCGACGCCGCGUGGAGGAUGACGGCGUUCGGGUACGUAACCUCGUUU